rnacentral:rRNA from 1 species
CAGUAGCCGCGGUAAUACGAACUGUGCAAACGUUAUUCGGAAUCACUGGGCUUAAAGGGUGCGUAGGAGGAUUUGUAGGUCAGAUGUGAAAGCCCACGGCUCAACCGUGGAAUUGCGUUUGAAACCACAAAUCUUGAGGAAGUCAGAGGUAUGCGGAACUGAUGGUGGAGCGGUGAAAUGUGUUGAUAUCAUCAGGAACACCGGUGGCGAAAGCGGCAUACUGGGACUUUUCUGACGCUGAGGCACGAAAGCUAGGGGAGCGAACGGGAUUAGAUACCCCCGUAGUCCCUGUCUCUUAUAC